UUCUAAUGAAAUACGUACUCAACAAAUGU
rnacentral:piRNA from 1 species